UUAUAUUUUCGUCGGGUCCUCUCGGUUUAGUUCGAGCGGGUUGUUCGGGUUGGGCGGUUUACAAAAAUUUAUGUACAACCUUUUUGAUGUGUUUUUUUCUCUUCUCUUUAUGAGACAUUGUCCAAAAAUAUAAUCUCUUUUGAAGAAAUAAAAUAAAAUAUGUAAAUAUUAUUGCCAAUAACAUAUUGACACGUGUCCCACUUAUGAAACCGCAAUACAGAUGAAAAAAGUCCGUCUCCGCUUUCUUAACUCUGAAGAGACCCAUAAUCCUUACUCUCUCUCUACAGCUCUACUCUCUCUCUCUUUUUCUCUCUCUCACUGUAAGUUUUAUUUUCUCUGUAAUUUAAUCAUGGAAGUAAUUUGUGAUCCUUUCAUUUUUUUGAACAUAAAGGAAGGUUUUAAACUUUCCAUGUGGCAGUCUAACUGAGAUUCUUUUUUAAUCUCUUUUUUCCUAAUUUUUCUAAUCUUUCUUAAUUUUUGUGAUUUAUUAUGUAUUUUAAAUUAACAUAUAAUGAGAAGGUUGCUCUUAUCAUCUUCUCCAACCGUGGCAAGCUCUAUGAGUUCUGUAGCAGCCCUAGGUGGAAUUUCAGUAUUUUAUUGAGUUGGGAGCGUUGUUGGAAGAUGUUAUAGCUUUAUUGUCUAAAUUUCCGGGGGCAGUUUUGUCCCAUGGGGCUCGCUCUAAGAUUUUAGCGGCCAAUGGUUGGCAAAGCAUGCUCUGCGGUUAGACGAUGAGCUAUCCUGGUUCGAGGAGGUUCCAGCGCCGGUGGCGGACGUGGGCGUCGUAAAUUCAUGAGUGAUUUUAAUCACUUUGUAUAAAAAAAAAAAAAAAAAAAAAAAAAAAAUAAUGACAUUAAUGAAUAUUUAAUCUAUUUUUGUAUAAUUAUUUAAACAUAUAUAUCCAAUUAAUUCCAAACGCUAAAUAAUUUUUGUCUUUUCAA